AAAACUCGUCAUUAAUACACUAUACAUAGACUGUGUUUUUCCAAUGGGUAAUUUUUAUAGAACCCCCUUGAUCUAGUGUUAUACAGUUCUGUUUGUCUUUAGUAAGGUUCUAAGGGAACUCUAGUAGAAGAAAGUUGUCAUAGAAUAAUAAGGAUAAGAAGAAUGGCCACCCCAUUAUCAACCGUUAACCACAAUACCUACAACAUGUAUAAUAUACAUGGUGAUUGUCAAGCUGUACAGAUUGGAACAUCAAACACAAUAAAUGAAACUACUAACCAGACCGACAGUGAUGAUUGCACAUCCGAUAUGGAAGAUGUGAGAUUCCAGAUGAAUCGGAUAAAGGAACAAUUUGAACGAAAAGAUGAGGAAAUAGCUGAAUUGAAAAAUAGGGUUGCUGACCUGGAAGAAUUUAAGAAGAAAGUAGAACAAUCAGAAGUCAAGACAAACGCCAACACUAAUACUAGACGUUAUGUCAGGGAUACGAGUAAUGCUAUUACUCUAAAGUUUUUUAAACCAUGGGGAAAUACGGGUACUAUAACUGUCAGUAAGAAAGUCAGUGUUAAUGAUUUAAUGAAGUUGAUAGAAGAGAAGGAGAAUAAGAAGAUUAGAGGGAUUGUUAUAGUGAGAUAUAGAGAUGGUAGUAUUAGACAGAUCUACUACACUACUACCAACAAGAACAAGAACGACUAUAGCCUGGAACAACUUGGUGUUGUAGACCAGGACCAGGUUUACUACUAUGAAUAGUAAAAUAUAGAGAUUAUAUUGAUAUGAUGUAUUUAUGGUCUCCUUUAUAUUGAACAAUGAGGGGGGGGGGUAGAUAUUACUUAUAGUAAAAUAUAAUGGACGAACCAGAACGAGGUUAGGUAUUAUUAUCUUAUUGUCUCUUGAUUAGGUUGUGAGGGUGGAAUAAAGUAAAAUGUUUGAGUGGUGUUGUGGGUGAUGUGGUGUGGUGGUGUGGGUGCUAAGUUAGUGAAGAGAUUUAUCAACCACACCAGCACCCUAACCAAGUAUCUUAUACCCCCUUCGCCCCCCCCCCCCCCAACCCCCAUGAUUGAUAUAUUGAAUCUUACUCUAAGUAAUAUCUUACCUGUCCCACCUGUUCCACCUGAUUGAUAUAUUGAAUCUUACUCUAAGUAAUAUCUUACCUGUCUCACCUGUCCCACCUGAUUGAUAUAUUGAAUCUUACUCUAAGUAAUAUCUAACAUCCUAAUAUAAAACUCGCUUACUACUGUAAAUAAAGCUGUAAUUCAAUAGUCACGAUUAUCAGGUGAUAUGUAGUCGUGAUCAUGUGAUAACUAACUGACAUGUAUAUAAUAUAUAAUUAUAUUAGUGAAACAAUGUUUUAUAUUUUGUAUUCUAAUUUUGUUUCAAUAAAAUAUUUUAUAACUAAACUAAUGUCGUUCUACUAAUAUUUCUAUGGUGUCAGGAAAUGAGAUAGUUACCACUAACAGAGGGGGUCAGUCUGUGGUAUCAUGAAAUACUGGAUAACGCUGUCAACAUGUGUCUAGUCAUACGAAUGGAACAAAAAAAAGAGAAUCUAUCUUGAAGAAAUAAUUCUAGGAACAGUUGGCUGCAAUGGGCAAUUAAUACAGGGUGACGUACACAAUAUGUUUCUAGUCAUUCGAAUGGGACGUGCAAAAAAAAAAACUCCAAUCAAAUACAGAUUACAGAUGCUUUACGCACGACCAAAGGACUUUCUCGUUGAUUAAAAUAAAUACGCAAAUACAAUCUGUUUCUAAUCUAGAUUAAAUGAGUUUUUAGUGGUGACUUGAAAAUUGUGAAUCUUUAAGAUCCUUUAAUUUUUAAUGGCGGAGGGGUUGAAUGGACGAAUGGUUAGUGCGUGCGCGUUGUAUCAAUAAUGUUUGUCAUAUUGAGUCAACUGGCGUGGGUUCGAUUCCCAGGUUGUACGCGAUAAGGAGUAGGGUCGCCUGUCCAACCUCGUUGGUUUUCUCCGGGUCCUCCGGUUUCAUCUCACUUCAAAAGACCCCUACGCGCAAGCAAAUUAUUGAAAAAAAACUGAACCAUGUUAGUCCCGAAAUGACAAUGUUUGUGUCGAGAGGACCUCUCUCUCUCUCUCUGGCAACAAAUUCCAAACGUUUUAGUUUUUUUUUUGUUUUUUUUUUAUUUAUUUAAUU